rfam:Bradyrhizobium sp. STM 3843, WGS project CAFK01000000 data, contig: 00012-775
UACCGGCAGUCCAACGCCGGCGCGGGCUACUGAAAAGGCUUGUCCUUCAUUGCCAGGUGUGCGGGCGGGAACCCUCCCAACCAAUCCACGGCAGCACAAUUCGGCUUCGGUUCGAGGUUUUGUCAC